UCGUGUGGUUUUGUGUUUGCUUUAAUGAAAUGGGACGUAGUUAGCGUGCACAAAAGUGCCAGAAGAUACCUUGUGUUUCGUUGCAAACUCGCCGUAUGCGUGGCGCGCGAGGCAAACAUGGACCAACGAUUUUUGUGCCGUGGCCUUUGUGUCGGGUUGUCGUGCAAAGUUGGGUGGACAUCGCAAAGAAAUCAUUCCUAUUGGUAGCGUGCCUCAGAUCGUCCACUACGCAGCGGCAUGUAUGCUGGGAGUAACAUCGUCGACGCAGCACCGGCAACUUGGAGAGCGUCGUGCCAUUGAAAAGUGGUGAGGCCGUGACCCACAGCAGUGUCCACAUGAUGGCAGGGAACCUGUGGCCCUGGCUACAGCAGCACAGCGUGUAAUCUGGAUGUCACGUCAGGUGAACGAUCUUAUCUGGCCUGAAGUCCUAUGGCGGCAAUGCACGACCGCAUUGGGGAGGCUGAGGUUCAGGGCAAGAGCCUUUAUGGAAAGGGCAGUAACAGGCACAAGAAGGACCCAGUGAAGGAGGGAUUGGAUCCAGUUCAUCUGAAUGCUGUAAUUGGGCUGCGCAAGUGGACCCACACACACAGUGGCUAUACACGCACCUGGUCAUUCACAAACAUAUGCACACACUAGCAGGUCGUUCGGGAAUUUUGCCAUGCGCCAUUCCUCUUCCCGUUAAGGCACUCCGCACGUCUGACCACCAGGGGACACACUCUCGCUACCUUCGUGUGCACAGCCAUAAAUAAUGGCGGCACCAUGCAUCUGACAUUGGUUGAAGUUCAGCAUCUGUUCGUUCACGUUCCACCGAAUGAUAUAG